rnacentral:rRNA from 1 species
UACAGAGGUGGCAAGCGUUGUUCGGAAUUACUGGGCGUAAAGGGCGCGUAGGCGGCCUUCUAAGUCAGACGUGAAAUCCCCCGGCUUAACCUGGGAACUGCGUCUGAUACUGGAUGGCUUGAGUAUGGGAGAGGGAUGUAGAAUUCCAGGUGUAGCGGUGAAAUGCGUAGAUAUCUGGAGGAAUACCGGUGGCGAAGGCGGCAUCCUGGACCAUUACUGACGCUGAGGCGCGAAAGCGAGGGGAGCAAACGGG